CAUUAUAUUUAAUGGAUGUUAUAAUUUCAAUGAAUGUACCAUACAUGCUCUUACCAUUCUGAGAUUGGAGUAGAUUUUGAAAGCUGAUGAGCUAAGUAAGAACGUUUCAAUAAUACCUUUCAGGAAAGGCAAGUCUUUGAGAGUUUCGGGCAGAGGUGUGAUGAACCAAAACUUAUGUUUAAAAAGAUCCAUCUAACCAUGCAAGUGAAAGGAAGUGGAAGCAGAGAGUUUAGUCAGAAAACCAUUUAAAUCAUCCAGUUAUACUGUAAAAAUAAAUUAGGAUGGGUGGUGUUGGUGGAACUGAAAAGAAAGAGACGAUUAUAACAGAAAUUGUGAAAUAAAUACUGGAACCUACUGCUGUGUAGGACUUAGGGGGAAAUGGACCAAGGUAGAACAACCCAGAGACAAAAUAUUCACUCUGUGCUUCUGACUCUGCCACUUAUCAUUCAAAUAAGGAAGAGCGGGAUAACUUCUCUACAUCAAAGUCAAUCUUGACUUGCAAAAUAGUCAAAAGGGCAACAAAAAGUCAUUUAUAAAGCUUGAAGGUCAUGAAAGAGUCCACUAUUAUUUUCUCCAUAUGCUCUUUUUUUUUUUUUUUUUUUUGGUUUUGUUGUUUUUGUUUGUUUUGAGUCACCCAGGUUGGAGUGCAGUGGCACAACCAGGGCUCACUGAAGCUUCAACCUCGGGAGUUCAAGCCAUCCUCCCACCUUGGCCUCCCAAAGUGCUGGGAUUACAGAAGUGAGCCACUGUGCCCGGCCGAUCCUGCUAUUUUUUCACAAAAGGCCAUAGGAAAGUUUAUCUGGAAACUGGGAGAGCAGCCCUUCUUUAGAGAUUAACUAAAGACCGUGACCUUGCUCUUCAUUUCAAUAGUCCAUGCCUUCCAGUUGCCUCAUCUAUCAAGAAGGAAACUAAAACAUACAACAAAUACUUCAUAGUAUUUUAUGACAGCAAGAAUAAGAGUAAAAUGUGAAAGCUGAAAACAUUCUAGAAGUAUUAUCUCCAAAAAUUGUGCAUAUUGAUAAAAUGGACCUUAAAGUUAUUAUACAUAAUAAUUGUACCUGAGUGUCUGUCACAGUUAGAAACAUGUUAAAAAUACAAGAUAAUGAAAUAAAAAUGAGCAAUUUAUUCUAUCUAAAUACUAUACAACUGUAUUAAUUAAUAACAUUUAAUGUCUUGCACGGAAGGACUCACCAAAUUACAAAUAUAGUCCUUCUAGAAUAUUAAAACCAUAAUUAAGUAUAGGCUGAAAUAGAGCCACCAGUGAACCUUUACCUGUUGAUGUACAAACAAUGUGAUUAUGUAUAAGGAAUAAAAUACAAUUUAAAAUAGUCAUUUCACAUCAUCAAGCAAAGUUCAGAGCAUGCUAAGAAAUAACUGUUCCAGAAAGGGUUGUGCCUUCUUCACCUGCAAUUUAUUUAACUGAAACUGGAAUUAUCAUCUCCCUUCCCCAACUCGCUGGUUCUUGUUACACCAAAGAAACAUAGCCAACUGGAAAUAAUGAGCAGUUGUCCCGACUGUAGAGAUUAAAUCAAUUUUAAGCAUUGUUACAUAAAGCACAUAUCACAAGAUGCAGUGGACAGCAUUAUUUGCCAAGGUCAGAUUCCUACCUUUUCCUUUUCUAGAUUGGUUAACAAGCACUAUGUAUUUAAGAACUGAAUUCUUCAUCUUCAAAGUUAUCUGAUUACAUGUCAUAAACAAUUUGAUUGAAAGUAAAGGGGAGCCAGUUGUGGUGGCUCAUGACUGUAUUCCCAGGACUUUGGGAGGCCGAGGCAGGAAGAUCAGUUGACGCCAGGAGUGUGAGACCAGCCCAGGCACCAUAGCAAGACCCUGCCUCCAUAAAAAACAAUCCUACUAGUAGGUAUCUAUCCAGAAGAAAAGAAGUCAUUAUACAAAAAGAAAAAUACUUGCACACUCAUGUUUAUAGCAGCACCAUUUGCAAUUGCAAAAAUACAGAACCAGCCCAAAUGCCUAUCAAUCAAUGAGAGGUUACAGAAAAUGUGAGAGAUAUAUAUAUACAUAUACACACACCAUGGAAUACUACUUAGCCAUAAAAAAAGAAUGAAAUAAGGACGUUUGCAGAAACCUGGAUGGAAUUGGAGACUAUUAUUCUAAGUGAAGUAACUCAGGAAUGGAAAACCAAAUAUCAUAUGUUCUCAUUCAUAUGUGGGAGCUAAGCUAUAACGAUGCAAAGGCAUAAGAAUUAUAUAUUGGGCUUUGAGGACUAUGGGGAAAGGGUGAGGGGGUAGCAAGAGAUAAAAGAGUUCACACUGGGUACAAUGUAUAUUGCUUAGGUGAUGGGUGCACCAAAAUCUCAGAAAUCACCACUA
rnacentral:lncRNA from 1 species